rnacentral:rRNA from 1 species
GGACGAACGCUGGCGGCGUGCUUAAUACAUGCAAGUCAACUUUGACUUUAGAUAGCAAUAUCGAAAGUAGGGUGGCGCACGGGUGCGUAACGCGUAGGUAAUCUGCCCUGAGGUCUGACAUAACCCGUCCGAAAGGCGGGCGUAACAUCAGAUGAUAUAUAAUCACGACAUCGUGGAAAUAUCAAAUCUUCGGAGCCUUGGGAUGAGCCUGCGUCUGAUUAGGUAGUUGGCGGAGUAAUAGCCCACCAAGCCUACGAUCAGUAGCUGGUCUGAGAGGAUGAUCAGCCACACUGGAACUGAGACACGGUCCAGACUCCUACGGGAGGCAGCAGUAAGGAAUAUUGCUCAAUGGGGGAAACCCUGAAGCAGCAACGCCGCGUGAAGGAUGAAAUACUUCUGUAUGUAAACUUCUGUAAGAUGGGAAAAAUAUUCUCCUCGGGAGAAUUGAUUGUACCAUCAGAGUAAGCCCCGGCUAACUACGUG